rnacentral:SRP_RNA from 1 species
GCCGGGCGUGGUGGCGGGCGCCUGUAAUCCCAGCUACUCAGGAGGCUGAGGCAGGAGAAUCGCUUGAACCCGGGAGGUGGAGCUUGCAGUGAGCUGAGAUCGCGCCACUGCACUCCAGCCUGGGCGACAGAGUGAGACUCCGUCUCAA